GAGAAAAAAGAUAUAGAAGGAACAAAUGACUACUUGGUUACCAACUAUUUUAGUUGUAUUUUGUAUAGUACUAUAUUAUAAAUCUAUGUUCACAUCUAACACAGGCAUGAGUGGAAGGCAGGCAUACAACAUCCUCUUAAACACUUCUAUUAAUGGAGUAUUCAGCACAUCACAAAGUAGCUUUAUGGAUAGCUUGGCUUCUGAAUUUUUUUAAACUAUUAAGUAACAUUAAUAAUUUCCUUUAUUCUAUGUGCACAGAACACCGGCAAUAAAGAUUUCAUUCAUUUACUCAAAAAUAUUUACUGGUUGCCUUUUUGGGGACAGGUACUUUAUGACUUUAUGACAUAGUUACAAUGGUAAAGUAACAAAAUUUCAUUUCAUACCAUCAAGUGUUUAAAAUUAAAAUAAGUAUUUUAGAUGUAGAUAAAUAUGUUUUUCUAAAAAUCACCAAACAGGAUAUAAGUAAUUUAUUUGAUCAUGGCAUUUUAUCACAUACUAUAACAAGAUCUAUUUAUCACAUACUAUAACAAGAUCUAUUCCCAGUAUCUAGAAAGCAAGCCAACGGGCCGGGCGCAGUGGCUCACGUCUGUAAUCCGAGCACUUUGGGAGGCCGAGGUAGGUAGAUUAUGAGCACAAGAGAUCGAGACCAUCCUGGCAAACAUGGUGAAAUCCUGUCUCUACUAAAAAUAAAAAAAUUAGCUGGGGGUGGUUGGCGUGCGACUGUAGUCCCAGCCAGUUAAGUUUUCUUUUUCUUUUUUUCUUUUUUCUUGGUUGAGACGGAUUUUCGCUCGUCACCCACACUGGAGUGCAAUGGCGCGAUCUCGGCUCACUGCAACCUCCGACUCUUGGGUUCAAGCGAUUCUCCUGCCUCAGCCUCCCGAGUAGCUGGGAUUAGAGGCACCUGUCACCACGCCCGCUACUUUUGGUAUUUUUAGUAGAGAUGGAGUUUCACCACGUUGGCCAGGCUGAUCUCAAACUCCUGGCCUCAAGUGAUUCACCUGCCUUGGCCUCCCAAAGUGCUGGAAUUACAGGCCCGGCCUAUUUUUGCAAUAAUUAUGAAUAGCACACCAUUUAAACCUGUUGAUUGAGCCCUCCUUAAAUAACUAAAUACACUACUGGCCAACAUGGUGAAAACCUGUCUCCACUAAAAACACAAAAAAAUGGCCGGGCACAGUGGCUCAUGCCUGUAAUCCCAGCACUUCAGGAGGCCAAGGGGUGUGAAUCACCUGAGGUUAGGAGUUCAAGACCAGCCUGGCCAACAUGGUGAAACCCUGUCUCUACUAAAAAAAAAUACAAAAAUUAGCUGAGUGUAGUGGCACAUACCCGUAGUCUCAGCUACUCAGGAGGCUGAGGCAGGAGAAUUGCUUGAACCUGGGAGGCAGGGGUUGCAGUGAGCCAAGAUCGUGCCACCACACUCCAGCCUGGGUGACACAGCGAGACUCCAUCUCAAAAUAAAUAAAUAAAUAAAAAGAAAGGGACCGAGCGCGGUGGCUCAUGCUUGUAAUCCCAGCACUCUGGGAGGCUGAGUUGGGCAGAUCACAAGGUCAAGAGUUCAGGACCAGCCUGACCAACACGGUAAAACCCCAUCUCUACUAAAAAUACAAAAAUGAGCUGGGUGUGAUGGCACGCGCCUGUAACCCCAGUUACUCAAAAGGCUGAGGCAAGAGAAUCGCUUGAACCUGGGAGGCAGAGGUUGCAGUGAGCCGAGAUCACGCCACUGCAUUCCAGCCUGGUGACAGUGAGACUCUGUCACACACACACAAAAAAGAUAAAGAAUGACAAAAAUCUGUGCCUACAUUCAGAGUGACAAGAAUACUAAUGUUCUGCUUGUAGAAAAGACUAUUGGUUCAGAAUAUGUUAAAUGCAAAUAAUAUUUUGUAUAAUAUAUAUAAAUUACAUAUGCAUAAAAAGAGUAUCUAUAUUAGAAUCUUUUGAGACAGGGUCUUGCUCUGUCAACCAUGAGGGAGUGCAGUGGCACUACCACAGCUCACUGUAGCCUUGACUUCCUGAGCUCAAGCCAUCCUCUCGCCUCAGCCUCCUGAAUAGUUGGGACUGCAGGUGGUGCCACCAAGGCUGGCUAAGUUUUUAUAUUUUUUUAUAGAAACAAGCUUUUGCCACGUUGCCCAGGCUGGUCUCAAACUUCUAAAAGCUCAAGCAAUCUGGCCGCCUUGAACUCCCAAAGUGCUUGAGUUAUAGGCAUGAGUCACUGUGCCCGGCCUACAUUAGAAUCUUAACAGUGGGGCUGGGCAUGGUGCCCCAUGCCUGUAAUCCCAGCACUUUGGGAGGUCAAGGUGGGCAGACUACUUGAGGUUGAGGAGUUCGAGGCCAGCCUGGCCAACAUGGUGAAACCCCAUCUGUACUAAAAACACAAAAAUUAGCCAGGUGUGGUGGCACAUGUUUGCAAUCCCAGCUACUUGGGAGGCUGAGGCGGGAGGAUCACUUGAACCUGGGAAGCAGAGGUUGCAGUGAGCCGAGAUGGUGCCAUGGCACUCCAGCCUGGGCAAUAGACAGCGGGACUCAGUCUCAAAACAAAAAAAAAAAAAAAAAAAAAAGAAUCUUAACAGUGGUUAACUUCAAAUAGUGAAACUAUGACUGUUAACUGAGUUUGACAUUUUUGUGUUUUCCUAGAUUUUUCUACAAUAAACAUUAUUAUUUCAUAAUAAAGCAGUAAAGACUUUUUAUACAAACUAUUUUAAGAUAAACAAAUUUUGACAUAGGGGUUAUAAGUUAGGUAGAAUCUAUUUAUAUAAAAAAUGGAACUGUACUUUUGUGGGCCAAAUAAGCACUAUGUAAGUUUUUUUAAUUUUCCCAAACACAUGCACAGAAUUAAUAUUGCCUUAAAUUUUGUUAGCACAAGUUUGAGAGAGCUCUUUAGUUCAUAAAAAAAUGUUUUAUGGACCAGGUGCCGUGGCUCACACCUGCAAUCUCAACACUUUGGGAGGCCCAGGUGGGAGGAUCGCUUGAGCCUAGGAGUUUGAGACAAGACUGGGCGACGCAGGGAGACCCUGUCUCAAAAAAACAAAACCAAAAACAAGCAAACAAAAAAACAGCUGGGCAUGGUGGCAUGCAUAUGUAGUCCCAGCUAUUCUAGAGGCUGAGGUGAGAUCGCUGGAGCCCAGGAGGUGGAGGCUACAGUAAGCUGUGAUCAUGCCAAUGCACUCCAGCUUGGUCAACAAAGCAAGACUGUGCCUCAAAAAAAAAAAAGAAAAGAAAAGAAAGAAAGAAAAGAAAAAGAAAAAAAGUUAUGUACGUAUGGUUUUUUUUUUUUUUUGGAUAGAGUUUCACUCUUCUUGCCCAGGCUGGAGUGCAAUGGUGCAAUCUUGGCUCACCACAACCUUCCCCUACUGGGUUCAAGCGAUUCUCCUGUUUCAGCCUCCCCAGUAGCUGGGAUUAAAGGCAUGUGCCACCACGCCCGGCUAAUUUUGUAUUUUUAGUAGAGAUGAAGUUUCUCCAUGUUGGUCAGGCUGGUCUUGAACUCCUGACUUCAGGUGAUCUGCCCGCCUCAGCCUCCCAAAGUGCUGGGAUUACAGGUGUGAGCCACCUCGCCUGGCCGUUUUUUUUUUUUUUUUUUUUUUCUGAGACGGAGUUUUGCUCUUAUUGCCCAGGCUGGAGUGCAAUGGCACGAUCUCGGCUCAUCGCAACCUCUGCCUCACGGGUUCAAGCAAUUUUCCUGCCUCAGCGUCUCAAGUAGCUAGGAUUACAGGGAUGCUCCAUCAUGCCCGGCUAAUUUUGUAUUUUUGGUAGAGACAGGGUUUCUCCAUGUUGGUCAGGCUGGUCUCAAACUCCCAACCUCAGGUGAUUUACCCGCCUUGGCCUCCCAAAGAGCUGGGAUUACAGGUGUGAGCCACUGUGCCCGGCCAUGCUUAUGUUUUUUAACAAUACACUUCUGAACUAUCAAAAAGAAUAUAAAUCAAAAUCACUGAAGUAGUUUUUAAAAACUCCAAAAGCUACAAAACUUACUUACUUCAAUAUCAAUUAAAAACCCAUUUGAUAGUUCAAUAACUUGAGUCCUGCUAGAAUCAUUCUAUAAGCCAUCAGUGACAGUGAAGUGGCCAAAAUUUGAGUCACUUGAUAAGUACAAAGAACACAGAUUUUU
rnacentral:lncRNA from 10 species